GAAAGUGGCGAACGGGUGAGUAACACGUAGGUAACCUGCCGCGCAGAGGGGGAUAACGACUGGAAACGGUCGCUAACACCGCAUGGUACUAGCUUGAUGGGAAUCUAGCUGGUUAAAACCUUGGUGCUGCGCGAGGGGCCUGCGUCCGAUUAGUUAGUUGGUGAGGUAAUGGCUCACCAAGACGAUGAUCGGUAGCUGG
rnacentral:rRNA from 1 species